AUUCCUACGGGGCGCAGCAGUGGGGGAUAUUGCACAAUGGAGGAAACUCUGAUGCAGCGACGCCGCGUGAGGGAAGACGGUCUUCGGAUUGUAAACCUCUGUUUUUGGGGAAGAAAAUGACGGCACCCAAAGAGGAAGCUCCGGCUAACUACGUGCCAGCAGCCGCGGUAAUACGUAGGGAGCGCGCGUUGUCCGGAAUUACUGGGUGUAAAGGGAGCGUAGGCGGGUGAGAAAGUUGAAUGUUAAAUCUACCGGCUUAA
rnacentral:rRNA from 1 species